AGUCGAACGGUCUCUUCGGAGAUAGUGGCGGACGGGUGAGUAACGCGUGAGAAUCUACCUUUAGGUUCGGGACAACAGUUGGAAACGGCUGCUAAUACCGAAUGUGUCGCAAGAUGAAAGAUUAAUUGCCUGAAGAUGAGCUCGCGUCUGAUUAGCUAGUUGGUGGGGUAAGAGCCUACCAAGGCGACGAUCAGUAGCUGGUCUGAGAGGAUGAUCAGCCACACUGGGACUGAGACACGGCCCAGACUCCUACGGGAGGCAGCAGUGGGGAAUUUUCCGCAAUGGGCGAAAGCCUGACGGAGCAACGCCGCGUGAGGGAGGAAGGCUCUUGGGUUGUAAACCUCUUUUCUCAAGGAAGAUAAUGACGGUACUUGAGGAAUCAGCAUCGGCUAACUCCGUGCCAGCAGCCGCGGUAAUACGGAGGAUGCAAGCGUUAUCCGGAAUAAUUGGGCGUAAAGCGUUCGUAGGUGGUGAUGUAAGUCUGCUGUUAAAGCGUGUAGCUUAACUACAUAUAGGCGGUGGAAACUACAUGACUAGAGUGCGUUCGGGGCAGAGGGAAUUCCUGGUGUAGCGGUGAAAUGCGUAGAUAUCAGGAAGAACACCGGUGGCGAAGGCGCUCUGCUAGGCCGUAACUGACACUGAGGGACGAAAGCUAGGGGAGCGAAUGGGAUU
rnacentral:rRNA from 1 species